rnacentral:lncRNA from 1 species
UGGAUGUUUAUUGUAUGAUAAUUGAUGAAGUAUUGAUAUUCUUGAUGAAAAGAGAAAAUAAAUCCCGAUUGAAUGAAAGGAAAAAUUCGAUGGAUCUCUGAAAAGGAAUUGACGGUAAAAAGGAUCUAGCCCGGACGGGUGAUCCUAUCCUGAUAUAGCCCUCCCGAAGAAUAUGUGGAAAAUGGAUUUAGCCCGGACGGGUAAUCCGAAUUAGGGUCUGAAUUUAGCCUGGACUGGUAAUUCAGAUCCAAGCUCAUUAGAGUAAUUAUCGUUGCAGGGGAUUUAGCCUGGACUGCUAAUCC